AUUGAACGCUGGCGGCAGGCCUAACACAUGCAAGUCGAACGGCAGCACAGAAGAGCUUGCUCUUUGGGUGGCGAGUGGCGGACGGGUGAGUAACACGUAGGAAUCUACCCAGUAGUGGGGGAUAACCUGGGGAAACCCAGGCUAAUACCGCAUACGCCCUGAGGGGGAAAGCGGGGGAUCUUCGGACCUCGCGCUAUUGGAUGAGCCUGCGUCGGAUUAGCUAGUUGGUGGGGUAAGGGCCCACCAAGGCGACGAUCCGUAGCUGGUCUGAGAGGAUGACCAGUCACACCGGAACUGAGACACGGUCCGGACUCCUACGGGAGGCAGCAGUGGGGAAUAUUGGACAAAUGGGCGCAAGCCUGAUCCAGCCAUGCCGCGUGGGUGAAGAAGGCCU
rnacentral:rRNA from 1 species